rnacentral:rRNA from 1 species
UACGAAGGGGGCUAGCGUUGUUCGGAAUUACUGGGCGUAAAGGGCGCGUAGGCGGCUUCGAUAGUCGGGCGUGAAAUGCCUGGGCUCAACCCAGGAACUGCGCUCGAAAACUCCGAGGCUAGAGUGUGGGGAGAGGAUAGUGGAAUUCCCAGUGUAGAGGUGAAAAUUCGUAGAUAUUGGGGAAGAACACCGGUGGCGAAGGCGGCUAUCUGGAACCACAACUGACGCUGAGGCGCGAAAAGCGUGGGGGAGCAAAACAGG